rnacentral:tRNA from 1 species
GAGUUCCCAUAGUUAAAUGCCUAAUAACGACAGUUUUUCAGGCUGUAGGUCCUGGAUAGAAGCCAGGUGGGAAUU